GGAUGCGGAAACAAAUGCAGAACGAUUUGACGAAGGCGAGCUUUGUACACUAACCACAGGUUGAGCGCAAGUGAAUGUCUUAAUGAUGGAUGAGAUCUCACUACCUUAAAGGAUUUGAGCUCAGACAUGAUCGAAUUUUGAAUAAGAUGGAUCUUGGCUUCAUUCUUGACAUCCAUUGAUGUAGGUGAAAUCAAAUACACAAGGGAAAAAUGGUUAACUUACCUAACAUGUAUUCUAAAAAACCAUGUAUAUCAACGAACGAGAUCACUUGAUAAUACCGCUUGAACUAAAAACUUCACGCAUACACUUAUUCUCUAAUCCUUGCCAUAUGUAACUUUCACACACACUUUAGAUCUCAGAUCUGACUAAAUGUGAAAAUCUGACCACAUACGCAUGAUGGCCCACUUUUGUCUAUCCCAAUGGUGUUAUAAGAAAGUGGGCCUCACAUACAUUCAUGAUCAUGACUAUACGACCCACCAUAUGGUGGUUGGAAGCAACUUCAUCUAGAUCAGCCCCUAACAAGUUUAAAAAUUCACCCCAAGUAAAUAGAAGAGGGAAAAGAAGGGGGAACGAGGAAGUUGACAGAAGAAUUUAAUGCCCGAAUUGAUUUCACUCUGAUAUCAUGUGGCAUGCUUGAUAAAAGAGAGGAGAAGAAAAAAAGAAGAAGAGAAAGAAUGGAAGGAAGAAGAGAAAAGGAGAAGCAACACACACACACACACACACACACACACAAAAUAUGGUUUUUAAUAAUUAGAAUAAUGCCAUUAGUAACAAAAGCAAAAAUAAUCGUUAUGUCCUAAACAUAGAUGGGUUAUAGAAGGGCCAUAGAACAGCCCAUAUCUGACAGAAAGAUGUAUAUUCUCCCUUCAUUUUUUCAAUGUUUAGCUAGUUGCUUUUGUGACAACCUAUUCAGCUGUAUUGUAAUUCUGCUCAUGGAAGUUUGACAGGAUUUAUUUUUAUUGUAGGCUGGAGAUGUUAGUCACCCAUCACAAACAUCAAGGACAGUCUUCCACGUAUAUGUUUACGUUGUCAGUUGUCAAGACAUGGUUUCACCCAAGGAUCCUUCAAAAAGAUUUGACAAAAUUGAUUAUUACACACAUCCAGAACACUACAAUCCUAUUUUCCGUGAAAGGAUAGCACCAUAUGCAUCUGUAAUAGUUAAUUGCAUGUAUUGGGAGAAAAGGUUUCCUCUGUUGCUUACUACCAAGCAGUUGCAAGAACUAAAGAGGAAAGGUAGCCCACUAGUUGGAAUUUCUGAUAUAACUUGUAACAUUGGAGGUUCAAUAGAAUUUAUUAACCCGACCACUUCAUUGGAGAGGCCUUUCUUCAGGUAUUAUUGUAGUGUUUCAUGGUAAAAAGAAAAGGAAAGAAAAGAGAAAUUCAGUAUCCUGCGUUGUUCUCUAACAUGUUUCUUCGUUUUUUGAAUCGGAACAUGCUGCUUGUAGUUUUAUUUCCUAGAAAUUUGUGAACAGUCUAUUAUUAUAUUUGGCCAUAUGAUUCACUAGGAAGUGACUAUUUGAUGUUAUAAAAUUUUUCCUUUUAAUUCCAUCGCAGACCUCGGAUGUUCUAUGUCACUUCAUGAGAUGCUUUCCAGAUGUUUUUUCCAAAAGAUCAAUUGGAAGAAUUCAUUUAUUUGGACUCUAACUUUUUUGACAUGAUAUCCCGCCAGAAAUCUAUGUUGUGGGAUGGGAAUGCUGGUGGAUAAAAGUUAGGCCCUAGCUUUGCAUGCAGGAAGUCAACCAUACUAAGAGCAUGAUACACAAGAACUUUGUUAUAUUGUUAAAGUUUCACGAGUUAGAUCAGUAUCUCAGUGUUUUCACAAAAUAAGGGAAAAGAAAGAGUUUAUGAUCUCUAUUAAGGUGGCAGCAUGUCAUUUAUGUGAAUCCAUUAAUUAUAUCAGCAAACUAUCUUCUUAAUUUUGAAUCAACAUUUUGCUGUCUAGUUUUAUUGUUGUAUUGUAAC